UACAGAGGUCUCAAGCGUUGUUCGGAUUCAUUGGGCGUAAAGGGUGUGUAGGUGGCGCGCUAAGUCGGGUGUGAAAUUUCGGAGCUUAACUCCGAAACUGCAUUCGAUACUGGCGUGCUUGAGGACUGGAGAGGAGACUGGAAUUCAUGGUGUAGCAGUGAAAUGCGUAGAUAUCGAGAGGAACACCUGCGGCGAAGGCGGGUUGCUGGGCUGACACUGACGCUGAUGCGCGAAAGCCAGGGGAGCGAACGGG
rnacentral:rRNA from 1 species